GACGAACGCUGGCGGCGUGCUUAACACAUGCAAGUCGAACGGAAAGGCCCUGCUUUUGUGGGGUGCUCGAGUGGCGAACGGGUGAGUAACACGUGAGUAACCUGCCCUUGACUUUGGGAUAACUUCAGGAAACUGGGGCUAAUACAGGAUAGGAGCUCCUGCUGCAUGGUGGGGGUUGGAAAGUUUCGGCGGUUGGGGUUGGACGCGCGGCUUAUGAGCUUGUUGGUGGGGGAGUGGCUUACCAAGGCUUUGACGGGUAGCCGGCCUGGGAGGGUGGACGGCCACAUUGGGACUGAGAUACGGCCCAGACUCCUACGGGAGGCAGAAGUGGGGAAUAUUGCACAAUGGGCGGAAGCCUGAUGCAGCAACGCCGCGUGCGGGAUGACGGCCUUCGGGUUGUAAACCGCUUUCGCCUGUGGCGAAGCGUGAGUGACGGUAAUGGGUAAAGAAGCACCGGCUAACUACGUG
rnacentral:rRNA from 1 species